GGCCNUUCGGGUCGUAAAGNUCUGAUGCGAGAGAUGAAGAAAGUGACAGUAUCUCNCCAGCANGCNCCGGCUAACUACGUGCCAGCAGCCGCGGUAAUACGUAGGGUGCAAGCGUUGUCCGGAAUUACUGGGCGUAAAGGGAGCGUAGGUGGUUACACAAGUCAAUAGUAAAAGGCAUGGGCUCAACCCAUGUAAGCUAGUGAAACUGUGUAACUUGAGUACAGUAGAGGUAAGCGGAAUUCCUAGUGUAGCGGUGAAAUGCGUAGAUAUUAGGAGGAACACCAGUGGCGAAGGCGGCUUACUGGGCUGUAACUGACACUGAGGCUCGAAAGCGUGGGGAGCAAACAGGAUUAGAUACCCUGGUAGUCCACGCCGUAAACGAUGAGUGCUAGGUGUUGGGGGUUUAGAUACCUUCAGUGCUGUAGUUAACGCAAUAAGCACUCCGCCUGGGGAGUACGAUCGCAAGAUUGAAACUCAAAGGAAUUGACGGGGGCCCGCACAAGCAGCGGAGCAUGUGGUUUAAUUCGAAGCAACGCGAAGAACCUUACCAAGUCUUGACAUCCUCUGAACGCUCUAGAGAUAGAGAUUUCCCUUUGGGACAGAGAGACAGGUGGUGCACGGUUGUCGUCAGCUCGUGUCGUGAGAUGUUGGGUUAAGUCCCGCAACGAGCGCAACCCUUAUGUUUAGUUGCCAGCACGUAAAGGUGGGGACUCUAGACAGACUGCCGGUGACAAACCGGAGGAAGGUGGGGACGACGUCAAAUCAGCAUGCCCUUUAUGACUUGGGCUACACACGUGCUACAAUGGUCUGUACAAAGAGAAGCGAAACCGUGAGGUGGAGCGGAUCUCAUAAAGCAGAUCUCAGUUCGGAUUGCAGGCUGCAACUCGCCUGCAUGAAGUUGGAGUUGCUAGUAAUCGUAGGUCAGCAAUACUACGGUGAAUACGUUCCCGGGCCUUGUACACACCGCCCGUCACACCACGAGAGUUGGUAACACCCGAAGCCGGUGGCCUAACCNNAAAAGG
rnacentral:rRNA from 2 species